rnacentral:rRNA from 1 species
GACGAACCGUGCGAACGUUAUUCGGAAUCACUGGGCUUAAAGGGCGCGUAGGUGGCCCGACAAGUCAAUGGUGAAAGCUCGACGCUCAACGUCGAGUCGGCCACUGAUACUGUUGGGCUGGAGCACUGUAGAGGCUCAUGGAAUUCCGGGUGUAGCGGUGGAAUGCGUAGAGAUCCGGAAGAACACCGGUGGCGAAGGCGGUGAGCUGGGCAGUAGCUGACACUGAGGCGCGACAGCGUGGGGAGCAAACAGG